rnacentral:lncRNA from 1 species
UGAACAGGAGUUCACUUAGCCAGGCUUCUGAAGAGUACUAGCGACUGCAGCACUUCACAAGACUGAACUUUUCCAUGUCUUUGUGACAUGGGAAGAGCACAGCCCCUCCACACGGCCCUGCACCUGCAGGCACCAUAUGGAAAGGGCUAUGCAGGCAGACCUUGGCCUGACUGCAGAAAAAGUGAAAAUACCUACUGAGACCCUGACAAUUUGAUCUGCUGGAAGAUUUUUUUCCUUAACUCUAGAUUUGAUCUCUAGCACUUAACAAGAAAUAAAAUGCAGCUUUUUGCUUCAGAGGAAAAGAGAGAGAGGAACCAAAAGUCUUUUAUUUUUCUUCACAGACAAAAAGAAAAACUCCACACCCUCCCACUUAGUUGCUUCUGCCAGUUGCCUCAGGAAGUCUGUGGCUGGCUGAAUGUAGAUCAGGUUGACUGCAUAAAAACUAGCUCCUGAGUGUCCACAAAAGCUCCUGCUGACUUCAUCUGAAAUUCUGAAGGUGUAAGAAUGCAAUUUACCACACAGUAUUUAAAAUAAAUUUCUCAAAG